AAUGAACGUUGGCGGCGUGGAUUAGGCAUGCAAGUCGAGCGCUCACCCGCAAGGGUGGGAGCGGCGAAAGGGAGAGUAACGCGUGGGUAUCUGCCCUCGGGACUGGGAUAGCUGCGGGAAACUGCAGGUAAUACCAGAUGACGUCCCCGGACCAAAGAUGUGAUUCCGCCUGAGGAUGAGCCCGCGUCCUAUUAGCUUGUUGGUGGGGUAAUGGCCUACCAAGGCAAUGAUGGGUACUGGGUGUGAGAGCACGACCCAGCUCACUGGGACUGAGACACUGCCCAGACACCUACGGGUGGCUGCAGUCGAGAAUCUUCGGCAAUGGGCGAAAGCCUGACCGAGCGACGCCGCGUGUGGGAUGAAGGCCUUCGGGUUGUAAACCGCUGUCAGAGGGGAGGAAUGGGCGGAGGGUAAUCUCUUCGUUUUGACCUAUCCUCAGAGGAAGUACGGGCUAAGUUCGUGCCAGCCGCCGCGGUAAAAC
rnacentral:rRNA from 1 species